rnacentral:rRNA from 1 species
CACCGCGGUUAAACGAGAGGCCCCAGUUGAUAUUAUUACGGCGUAAAGGGUGGUUAAGAAACAUAAUAAAAUAAAGCCGAACAGCCCCCCGGCCGUCAUACGCUUCCGGGCGCUAGAAGCCCAACUUUACGAAAGUGGCUUUAAUAUAUAUGCCUGACCCCACGAAAGCUGAGAAA